rnacentral:rRNA from 2 species
UACGGAGGGUGCAAGCGUUGUUCGGAAUUAUUGGGCGUAAAGCGCGUGUAGGCGGUUGGUUAAGUCUGAUGUGAAAGCCCUGGGCUCAACCCGGGAAGUGCAUUGGAAACUGGCUAACUUGAGUACGGGAGAGGGUAGUGGAAUUUCGAGUGUAGGGGUGAAAUCCGUAGAUAUUCGAAGGAACACCGGUGGCGAAGGCGGCUACCUGGACCGAUACUGACGCUGAGACGCGAAAGCGUGGGGAGCAAAC